rnacentral:tRNA from 1 species
CGGGGGAAAGUAUAAGCUUGUACAGUGGGUUUGGGACCUGCUAGUCCCUGUAAUAGGGUCUCCCGU